rnacentral:rRNA from 1 species
AGGUUAAGCUACAAAGAGCACACGGAGGAUGCCUAGGCGCCAGGAGCCGACGAAGGACGUGGCGAACAACGAUAAGGCCUCGGGGAGCUGUAAGCAAGCUUUGAUCCGGGGAUGUCCGAAUGGGGAAACCCGGCUGUCUUCAUCGACAGUCACUUUCUGCUGAAUACAUAGGCAGAAUAGAGGCAGACCAGGGGAACUGAAACAUCUAAGUACCCUGAGGAAGAGAAAACAAUAGUGAUUCCGUCAGUAGCGGCGAGCGAACGCGGAUUAGCCCAAACCAAGGAGCUUGCUCCUUGGGGUUGUGGGACGUCUCACAUGGAGUUACAAAGGAACCGGUUAGAUGAAGAGGUCUGGAAAGGCCCGCCAGAGAAGGUAAAAGCCCUGUAGUUCAAAACUUGUUCUCUCCGAGACGGAUCCCGAGUAGUGCGGGGCACGUGAAACCCCGUAUGAAUCCGGCAGGACCAUCUGCCAAGGCUAAAUACUCCCUGGCGACCGAUAGUGAAGCAGUACCGUGAGGGAAAGGUGAAAAGCACCCCGGAAGGGGAGUGAAAUAGAUCCUGAAACCGUGUGCUUACAAGAAGUCAGAGCCCGAUCUAUGGGUGAUGGCGUGCCUUUUGUAGAAUGAACCGGCGAGUUACGUUCCCGUGCAAGGUUAAGGUGAAGAGCUGAAGCCGCAGCGAAAGCGAGUCUGAAUAGGGCGAAUGAGUACGUGGACGUAGACCCGAAACCGGGUGAUCUACCCCUGUCCAGGGUGAAGGUGCGGUAACACGCACUGGAGGCCCGAACCCACGCAUGUUGAAAAAUGCGGGGAUGAGGUGGGGGUAGCGGAGAAAUUCCAAUCGAACCCGGAGAUAGCUGGUUCUCCCCGAAAUAGCUUUAGGGCUAGCCUCGGAAAUAGAAUCGUGGAGGUAGAGCACUGAUUGGGUGCGGGGCCCGCAAGGGUUACCAAGCUCAGUCAAACUCCGAAUGCCAUAGAUUUAGUUCCGGGAGUCAGACAGUGAGUGCUAAGAUCCAUUGUCGAAAGGGAAACAGCCCAGACCAUCAGCUAAGGUCCCCAAGUGUGUGUUAAGUGGGAAAGGAUGUGGAGUUGCACAGACAACCAGGAUGUUGGCUUAGAAGCAGCCACCAUUGAAAGAGUGCGUAAUAGCUCACUGGUCGAGUGACUCUGCGCCGAAAAUGUAACGGGGCUAAACACACCACCGAAGCUAUGGCUUGAUGCUUGCAUCAGGGGUAGGGGAGCGUUGAAUGCGGGUUGAAGGUGUACCGUAAGGAGCGCUGGACUGCAUUCAAGUGAGAAUGCCGGUAUGAGUAACGAAAAGAUCUGUGAGAAUCAGAUCCGCCGAAAGCCUAAGGGUUCCUGAGGAAGGUUCGUCCGCUCAGGGUAAGUCGGGACCUAAGGCGAGGCCGAUAGGCGUAGUCGAAGGACAACAGGUCGAAAUUCCUGUACCACCGUAAUCCGUUAUGAGCGAUGGGGUGACGCAGUAGGGUAGUGACGCGGACUGAUGGAUGUCCGUCUAAGCAGUGAGGCUGGUGUGUAGGCAAAUCCGCACAUCGUAAGGCUGGGCUGUGAUGGGGAGCGAAAAUUGUAGUAGCGAAGGUCAUGAUCUCAGACUGCCAAGAAAAGCCUCUAGCCAGGAGAAGGUGCCCGUACCGCAAACCGACACAGGUA